rnacentral:rRNA from 1 species
CGGCUCAGUAACACGUGGACAACCUACCCUAUGGAGGGGGAUAACCCCGGGAAAUUGGGGAUAAUACCCCAUAGACUAUAGAUGCUGGAAUGCUUUGUAGUUGAAAGGUCCGCCGCCAUAGGAUGGGUUUGCGGCCGAUUAGGUUGUUGUUGGGGUAAUGGCCCAACAAGCCUGUAAUCGGUACGGGUUGUGGGAGCAAGAGCCCGGAGAUGGAUUCUGAGAUAUGAAUCCAGGCCCUACGGGGCGCAGUAGGCGCGAAAACUUUACAAUGCGGGAAACCGUGAUAAGGGAACUCCGAGUGCCCGUAAAAUCGGGCUGUCCAUCUGUUUAAAUAACAGGUGAAGAAAGGGCCGGGUAAGACCGGUGCCAGCCGCCGUGGUAAUACCGGCGGCUCGAGUGGUGGCCACUAUUACUGGGCUUAAAGCGUUCGUAGCUGGUCUGUUAAGUCUCUGGGGAAAUCUACUGGCUUAACCAAUAGGUGUCUCAGGGAUACUGGCAGACUAGGGACCGGGAGAGGUGAGAGGUACUCCAGGGGUAGGAGUGAAAUCCUGUAAUCCUUGGGGGACCACCUGUGGCGAAGGCGUCUCACCAGAACGGCUCCGACAGUGAGGGACGAAAGCUGGGGGAGCAAACCGGAUUAGAUACCCGGGUAGUCCCAGCCGUAAACGAUGCGCGUUANGUGUAUCGGUGAC